UGUAAACAUCCUACACUCUCAGCUGUGACUUUGUGGUGGCUGGGAGAAGGUUGUUUACGCCUCCU
rnacentral:pre_miRNA from 1 species